rnacentral:rRNA from 1 species
UCCGUAGGCGGGAAGAUAAGUCAGUGGUGAAAGCCUGUGGCUCAACCAUAGAAUUGCCAUUGAUACUGUCUUUCUUGAGUGCACAUGAUGUGGGCGGAAUGUGUCGUGUAGCGGUGAAAUGCUUAGAUAUGACACAGAACACCGAUUGCGAAGGCAGCUCACAAAAGUGUAACUGACGCUGAGGGACGAAAGCGUGGGGAGCGAACAGGAUUAGAUACCCUGGUAGUCC